rnacentral:rRNA from 1 species
UAAGGAAUAUUGGUCAAUGGACGCAAGUCUGAACCAGCCAUGCCGCGUGAAGGAUGAAGGUCCUCUGGAUUGUAAACUUCUUUUAUCUGGGACGAAAACGGGAUUUUUAUCUCAAUUGACGGUACCAGAGGAAUAAGCACCGGCUAACUCCGUGCCAGCAGCCGCGGUAAUACGGAGGGUGCGAGCGUUAUCCGGAUUUACUGGGUUUAAAGGGUGCGUAGGUGGGCUUAUAAGUCAGUGGUGAAAUCUCCGAGCUUAACUUGGAAACUGCCGUUGAUACUAUAGGUCUUGAAUUAUCUGGAGGUAAGCGGAAUAUGUCAUGUAGCGGUGAAAUGCUUAGAUAUGACAUAGAACACCAAUUGCGAAGGCAGCUUACUACAUAUAAAUUGACGUUGAGGCACGAAAGCGUGGGGAUCAAACA